CGGCUGCCGGCCGGUGUUGGAGGCGGUGGCCCGUGGGCCUCGGGUGGCGGCUCGUCCGGGGGCCGUCGGCUCCGCGGCGGUCAAGCAGCGGCCAGGAAGGAGGGCGAUGCCCGGGCCACGGACGGGAGCCAGAGGAGCCGCUCGCCGGCAUCCCGAACCAGGGGGAGAGCUCAGCAGGGUACAAGCAGGCGAGACGUGGGCAGGCUGCUCGGGGAGAGGCUCACCGAUUUCAAGGUAAAAAAAAAAAAAAAAGUAAGACACUAUGCAUUUA
rnacentral:lncRNA from 1 species